GUGUAUAAUAACAGAGAAGUUUAAUCUUUCUUGCUGGAUACUCUUACUGAGGUGGGUGAGGAAGCCCCUGACUCACAGAUAGCAAAUGGGCUCUUUUUAUAUAGCAAUCACUCACUUAAG